GACAGAGGGUGCAAACGUUGUUCGGAAUUACUGGGCGUAAAGCGCGUGUAGGCGGCUAAGUAAGUCGGGCGUGAAAUCCCACGGCUCAACCGUGGAAGUGCACUCGAAACUGCAUAGCUAGAGUCCUGGAGAGGAAGGUGGAAUGCUUGGUGUAGAGGUGAAAUUCGUAGAUAUCAAGCGGAACACCUGUGGCGAAAGCGGCUCACUGGACCACAACUGACGCUGAGGCGCGAAAGCGUGGGGAGCGAACAGG
rnacentral:rRNA from 1 species